UAGACUUAAUAGAGUGUUGAUAGGAAUUAAUUUGGGAUGAUUUAGAUUUGUAAUGACUUUGUAAGAGCUUUGCAAAGUUAUGGUUUAUUUUGGGUGACUCUGGAUUUGUGAAAUAAAAUGGGUGAUACUUUUUGGAAAAUUUUAUAAAUUUGGCAAUAGAUCUAUAAGUGAAUUUUUUUAAGUUAGUAGUUGUAGUUGUGUUUAAUAUGUUCUAUGAAUUUGGAUUUGAUCAAAUGAUUAGAUUGAAAAGCAUGAAGGUUUUUGUGGAUUAUAGUCUUGGAAUUUAGGACUUUAGGGACCAAUGAGGUUUUCUUAGAUAUCUAUCAAUUUGCUAAUUAGAUUGAGGAAAAUUUUUUUAUAAAGAUAGUCAGCUUAAUUUUUAACAAGUAUGUUAAGUUUGGAAGCAAAAUAAUAGUUCAAUUAGGAGUAAUUGGCUUUGGGAGUUUGGUACCAAGGUCAAAGAAGGAGGCUAGCCAACACCCAAGCACAUUUUUGAGGUUAUCAUCUAUUUGGUAAUUUUGAUCAUUUCUAAUUUUUUUGUGCUUAUUUUUAAUUUAAUUGUUAAGAAAUGUGCAAAUUUUGAGUUGAAAUCAAUGAUUCAUUCAUUAGUUAUUGAGGUCUAAAUGUGUUAUAGGAAUUACUUGGAAUUGAUUAGGGUUUAAUUAGGAUUUGGUUAGGAUUUUGUUAGAGUUUAUUUAGGAUUUGAUUAGGAUCUGGUUAGGACUUGAUUAGAAUUUGAUUAAAAUUCAAUUAGGAUUUUAUUAGAGUUUGUUUAGGAUUUUUUGAAGAUUUGAUUAAAAUUUGAUUAGAAUUUGACUAAGAUUUGUCUAGAAUUUAUUUAGGAUUUGGUUAGAUUUUAUUUAGGAUUUGAUUAAGAUUUGAUUAGGGUUUGUUUAAGAUUUGGUUAGGGCUUAUUUAGGAUUUGUUUAGUAUUUGACUAGGAUUUGUUUAGAGUUUGGUUAGGAUUUGUUUAGGAUUUGAUUAAGAUUUAAUUAGAUUUUGACUAAGUUUUGACUAAAGUUUGAUCAAGA
rnacentral:lncRNA from 1 species